rnacentral:rRNA from 1 species
UACGAAGGGUGCAAGCGUUGCUCGGAAUUAUUGGGCGUAAAGGGUAGGUAGGUGGUAAUAAAAGUCUGGGGUGAAAUCCCUGAGCUCAACUCAGGACGUGCCUUGGAAACUUUAUUACUAGAGUGCUGGAGAGGUCCGCAGAAUUCCCGGUGUAGCGGUGAAAUGCGUAGAGAUCGGGAGGAACACCGACGGCGAAGGCAGCCUUCUGGAAAGUACCUGACGCUGAGGGGCGAAAGCUAGGGGAGCGAACGGG